GGCGUCGAGCGGCGGACGGGUGAGUAAUGCAUAUGAAUCUGCCCGAUAGUGGGGGAUAACCUGGGGAAACUCAGGUUAAUACCGCAUACGUCCUACGGGAGAAAGCAGGGGAUCUUCGGACCUUGCGCUAUCGGAUGAGCCUAUGUCGGAUUAGCUAGUUGGUGAGGUAACGGCUCACCAAGGCGACCAUCCGUAGCUGGUCUGAGAGGAUGAUCAGCCACACUGGGACUGAGACACGGCCCAGACUCCUACGGGAGGCAUCAGUGGGGAAUAUUGGACAAUGGGGGAAACCCUGAUCCAUCCAUGCCGCGUGUGUGAAGAAUGCCUUCUGGUUGUAAAUCACUUUCAGCGAGGAAGAAGGCCUGGGGGCUAAUACCCCUCAGGAAGGACAUCACUCACAGAAGAAGCACCAGCUAACUCCGUGCCAGCAGCCGCAGUAAUACGGAGGGUGCGAGCGUUAAUCGGAAUUACCGGGCGUAAAGCGUGCGUAGGUGGCUUGAUAAGCCGGUUGUGAAAGCCCCGGGCUCAACCUGGGAACGGCAUCCGGAACUGUCAGGCUAGAGUGCAGGAGAGGAAGGUAGAAUUCCUGGUGUAGCGUUUACAUGUUUCGAUAUUGGGAGGAAUACCAGUGGCGAAGGCGCCUUUUUUGGAUUGACACUGAUACUUAGUGUGCGAAAGCGUGGGUCGCAAACAGGAUUGAAUACCCUGGUAGUCCACGCCGUAAACGAUGUCGACUAGCCGUUGGGGUCCUUGAGACCUUUGUGGCGCAGUUAACGCGAUAAGUUGACCGCCUGGGGAGUACGGCCGCAAGGUUAAAACUCAAAUGAAUUGACGGGGGCCCGCACAAGCGGUGGAGCAUGUGGUUUAAUUGGAUGCAACGCGAAGAACCUUACCUACCCUUGACAUCGUGCGAACUUUCCAGAGAUGGAUUGGUGCCUUCGGGAACGCACAGACAGGUGCUGCAUGGCUGUCGUCAGCUCGUGUUGUGAAAUGUUGGGUUAAGUCCCGUAACGAGCGCAACCCUUGUCCCUAUUUGCCAGCGAUUCGGUCGGGAACUCUAGGGAGACUGCCGGUGACAAACCGGAGGAAGGUGGGGAUGACGUCAAGUCAUCAUGGCCCUUACGGCUAGGGCUACACACGUGCUACAAUGGUCGGUACAAAGGGUUGCAAUGCCGCGAGGUGGAGCUAAUCCCAUAAAGCCGGUCUCAGUCCGGAUCGCAGUCUGCAACUCGACUCCGUGAAGUCGGAAUCGCUAGUAAUCGUGAAUCAGAAU
rnacentral:rRNA from 1 species